UGACAGAUUUUUUUUUGGAAUGGGGAACUUGUAUCUAGUAGCCACGGCACUGUAUAUAAGGUAUAUACAAUAUAUAUCAAAUUAUAUACAAUAUGAAUAAAAAAAUAUAUUUAUUUCAUAGUUUUAUAUAAUUUAUUUAUCAGUAAGUAAAGGAAUGCUAUCAAUUUGUUAUAUGAAUCAUAAGCAUGUGCUUAUCUUUUACAAGUACCUUUGAUGGUGAAAAUUACAUUUUUUAUCUGAAGAGAGUUGGGAGAAAUGUUCAUAUUGAAACAAGAUAUUGUGUAAAGAGGUUUUCAAAGAAGUCGUUUUAACAAUGGAAAAGCUUCCGAUUCCCAAAUUAAACGUGAAAGCAUUUGGUACAUGAUUAAAGAAUCGUUCAAAAGUUUGCUUAAUUUUGACAGUGUAAUUUUAAUUACUAUUUUUUUUUGAAAUAAACCAUUCAAUUUAUA
rnacentral:lncRNA from 1 species